ACCCCAUAAUAUUGAUUUAUCGCAUGAUAGAUUAAUUAAAGGAGUAAUCCGCUACGAGAUGGGCCCGCGGCGCAUUAGCUAGUUGGUGAGGUAACGGCUCACCAAGGCCACGAUGCGUACGCGACCUGAGAGGGUGAUCGGCCACUAUGGGACUGAGACACGGCCCAGACUCAUACGGGAGGCAGCAGUGGGGAAUAUUGCACAAUGGGCGAAAGCUGAUGCAGCAACGCCGCGUGAGUUAAGAAGGCCUUCGGGUUGUAAAGCUCUGUCUUCAGGGACGAUAAUGACGGUACCUGAGGAGGAAGCCACGGCUAACUACGUGCCAGCAGCCGCGGUAAUACGUAGGUGGCAAGCGUUGUCCGGAUUUACUGGGCGUAAAGGGAGCGUAGGCGUAUACUUAAGUGGGAUGUGAAAUACCCGGGCUCAACCCGGGUGCUGCAUUCCAAACUGGGUAUCUAGAGUGCAGGAGAGGAAGUGGAAUUCCUAGUGUAGCGUGGAAAUGCGUAGAGAUUAGAAGAACACUAGUGGCGAAGGCGACUUUCUGGACUGUAACUGACGCUGAGCUCGAAAGCGUGGGAGCAAACAGGAUUAGAUACCCUGGUAGUCCACGCCGUAAACGAUGAUACUAGUGUGGGAGUACCACCUUCCGUGCCGCCGUAACACAAUAAGUAUCCCGCCUGGGGAGUACGGUCGCAAGAUUAAUACUCAAAGGAAUUGACGGGGGCCCGCACAAGCAGCGGAGCAUGUGGUUUAAUUCGAAGCAACGCGAAGAACCUUACCUAGACUUGACAUCUCCUGAAUUACCUUUAAUAAGGGAAGCUUCGGGGCAGGAAGACAGGUGGUGCAUGGUUGUCGUCAGCUCGUGUCGUGAGAUGUUGGGUUAAGUCCCGCAACGAGCGCAACCCUUAUUGUUAGUUGCUACCAUUAAGUUGAGCACUCUAGCGAGACUGCCUGGGUUAACCAGGAGGAAGGUGGGGAUGACGUCAAAUCAUCAUGCCCCUUAUGUCUAGGGCUACACACGUGCUACAAUGGCGAGUACAACGAGAAGCAAGAUCGCAAGGUGGAGCAAAACUCAAAAACUCGUCCCAGUUCGGAUUGUAGGCUGAAACUCGCCUACAUGAAGCCGGAGUUGCUAGUAAUCGCGAAUCAGAAUGUCGCGGUGAAUACGUUCCCGGGCCUUGUACACACCG
rnacentral:rRNA from 1 species